UUUUAUUUGGCCUAUGUUAAGAAGAAAACCACAGAUGAAAAUUCAAAAUAUAUCAAAAGUAUAAUGUAAAGUACUUUUUGUAGUGUGUCAUUGGGCAUUUUUAAGUGGGUGUGUGGAAAUCCUGCAGCUUUGAGUAUACUGCAUAUACCUGCGUAUCACGUUGACUACACC